AAAAGUGUGGCCUAACGGUAAGGUGCCUGGUAGAUGCCUAAGAAGCCAGGACUAUGGUGGGUUCGAAUCCCCCCACUUUGAC
rnacentral:tRNA from 1 species